UUGGCUAAAAAGCCGGAUGUGUUUUAUGGAACAACAUCAAAUAUGUUCCAAAAAUUUAUCAGUUGGGCUUUUGAACGGGGUUCAAACUCGGGAUCGUCGAAAAAGGCUAAUGAAGCAAUGCAAUUACUAAGAAUAAUUUGGAAAAAUAUUGCAAGCAAGCCUAAGAAAGAAAUUGAUGACAUAAUCCGAGGGCCGCCUGAUGCAGUUAAGAAAGAU